rnacentral:tRNA from 1 species
AUAGCUCAAUGGUUAAGAGCACUGGCUGCUCUUCUGAGGACCUGGGUUCAAUUCCCAGU